rnacentral:rRNA from 1 species
AUUAAUAGUUAUUUUCUUUAAACUUAAAGAAUUUGACGGUACCUUAUAACUGUUCAGAGGAACCUGUCCUUUAAUUGAUAUUUCACGAUUAAUUUUACUUUAUUUAAUUACUUGUAUAUCUCCGUAAUUAGAAUAUCUUUUAAGAGGUUUAAUUUUCAUUUAUUUUUAUUAAAAUUUAUUUCAGGUCAAGGUGCAGUUUAUAUUAAAGUUGAGAUGGGUUACAAUAAAUUAUUGUUUAUUACGGGGUUUUAAUGAGUAUUAUUUUUAAAGGUGGAUUUGAUUGUAAUUUAAUUAAUUUAAAUUAAUUGAUUUUAGCUCUGGGGUGUGU